ensembl:lincRNA Gm28163 predicted gene 28163
GGAUCCUCCCCCGAACCUACCCCUUCCCAACCGAGUGGGUCCUCAGUCCUUUGCUGGAGAGAUAAACGAAGCUAGAACAUUCCUAAACAAAAAGUCGGCAUAUGUGUAAAUAGUGCACACCCACAAAAGCAAACAACCUCUUUGGGCUAACACCUUUUCUGUCUCUCAGAAGAGGCUUAAUCCCUCUGUGGAAUUCCCAUCAGCACCUGGGUUGGUACCAAAGUCAGGGUCAUGAAGAUACACUCUCUGUGGAUUUCAGGAAGGCAAGGCAAGGGCUUGUCUUCACACUGUGUUCCCCACAUUUAAAAACAAAAUCACAGAAACA